rnacentral:rRNA from 1 species
CCUACGGGUGGCAGCAGUGGGGAAUAUUGGACAAUGGGGGCAACCCUGAUCCAGCCAUGCCGCGUGUGUGAAGAAGGCCCUCGGGUUGUAAAGCACUUUCAGUGAGGAAGAACGCCUGGUGGUUAAUACCCAUCAGGAAAGACAUCACUCACAGAAGAAGUACCGGCUAACUCCGUGCCAGCAGCCGCGGUAAUACGGAGGGUGCGAGCGUUAAUCGGAAUUACUGGGCGUAAAGCGCGCGUAGGUGGCUUGAUAAGCCGGUUGUGAAAGCCCCGGGCUCAACCUGGGAACGGCAUCCGGAACUGUCAAGCUAGAGUGCAGGAGAGGAAGGUAGAAUUCCCGGUGUAGCGGUGAAAUGCGUAGAGAUCGGGAGGAAUACCAGUGGCGAAGGCGGCCUUCUGGACUGACACUGACACUGAGGUGCGAAAGCGUGGGUAGCAAACAGGAUUAGAUACCCUGGUAGUC